AAAACUUAAAUGUAACAACCUCGUCAGCAUCUUUAUCUGUGUAAGAGGAAGAUUUGCUUAACAAACUGACAAAGGUAACAAAGACAAAACAAAAAACAAGGACAAUACACAGACCACACAAGGACCGCACAAGGACCACCCAAGACCAGCACAGAGUAAAAAAGUAUACAAAAAAAUUAAAAAAACUCCAACAACAAUUCAAUGCACAUGCCAACAAGAAGAAAAACGAGUGAGAAUGGAUCCACUUACAUAUGGGUUAACAAACUCCAGAUUCACUAAGCACCACCAUCUUUGCACUUUCUAGCCUUAAAGUCCAACGCCAAACAGUGAUUUCUUCUCCAAAUUCUCCCAAAAUUCAAACCUCACCUCAAAUUUUGAUAAGCCCUAGCCUUCUUCUCCAAAUUUCCCCUUCUCACCCAAAUACCGCCUUCCCCUUUUCUGAAACUAAAAAACCCUUAUUCUCUAAUGUUAAGUGAUUGAAAAAGAAGUGGGGCCUAAACCAAGUAAUGAAACGUCUCUUAAUGCUGACGGAAUGAGUAACGUGAGACAGUUUUAAAAAGUGUAUGGGCUAUUUUGAGACGUUUCAAAUAAUAGGGGGUAAUUUGAGACAAGUUUGAAAGCACAAGGGACAUGUACAUAAAUAAGCCUUGUUUAAAUUGUAGAAAUUUUUUUUUCUUUGAGCUUUUAACCUUUUAAAUACUACACCUCCCUUGAAAAAUUUCUAAGUCUGCUAGAGAAUAUCGAGUCGAGUCAAACUAUCUAUGGGCUUACAAAUCACGACCCAU
rnacentral:lncRNA from 1 species